CGCCUCGAUGGCGGGCUGCGGGCCCGUUCCCGCUCCGACGGUGGGCUGCGGGCCCGUGCCGGGACCGACCGCGGGGAUCGGGCCGCUGUCGAGGCGG
rnacentral:tRNA from 1 species